AUACGUAGGUGACAAGCGUUAUCCGGAUUUACUGGGCGUAAAGAGCUCGUAGGUGGUUUGUCGCGUCGUCUGUGAAAUUCCGGGGCUUAACUCCGGGCGUGCAGGCGAUACGGGCAUAACUUGAGUACUGUAGGGGAGACUGGAAUUCCUGGUGUAGCGGUGAAAUGCGCAGGUAUCAGGAGGAACACGGGUGGCUAAGGGGGGUCUCUGGGCAGAAACUGACGCUGAGGAGCGAAAGCAUGGGUAGGGAACAGGAUUAGAUACCCUGGUAGUCCAUGCCGUAAACGGUGGGCGCUAGGUGUAGGGGUCUUCCACGACUUCUGUGCCGUAGCUAACGCAUUAAGCGCCCCGCCUGGGGAGUACGGCCGCAAGGCUAAAACUCAAAGGAAUUGACGGGG
rnacentral:rRNA from 1 species